AAAGCAAGCGCAGCAAAGGCAAACCUACCCAGCUUCAAAAUCCAAACAAAGAAAUCUUAGUGGGCUGUUUACAUAUCUGUGGAAGGAUAUCUGAGCUUGUGUUGACGGGUUGCUAGAGUGCUUGAGAGAUCAGUCCCCGCACAAUGGACGAGUGGGAAAUCAAAGACUGGAUGAACGCUGGGGAAACUGACGGAGAGGUGAGCUCUGGAAAGGAGGAAGGAUACUUCCUGUUCCUACUGGAGUGACCCGCAGGUCUGAGGAGGAGUGAGGGAGUGAGAGAGAAGGCGGAGGAAGCGAAAAUCUAUACAGAUGUGUGGAACAACACCAGGUACACUCAUUGCUGUGGUGUUGGUUGUGUUAGCUCCAAUCCACCAGCUGAAUGGAUCAUGUAUGGGAAUGACAAGAUGAUGCAAGAUGACACAGAAGUGCGUUCCAGUGAGCAGUUGUUAAGGUCCCCUAAACUCAGUGGUGGAUGAAGUACAAUUAAGGAAAAGAAAGGUUCCCAGCUGAACUGGGCUGAGGUCAGUGUCCGGUCAAACGGAGUCGGGCCUGUGUGUCUGUGGGGGAGCAGAUGAAGUGGUCAGCGGUGUGACAGUUAGUGGUGAUUCUGACAGCACCAGAUCCAGUGUGGAUUAGAGGUGCCGAUGUGUGCGAUGCCAGGAAAGGUCAGGAGAUGAUUUACUGAACAUUUAUGGAGGCUUUAUCUUCAGUCCUUGUCACCAAGUCGGGCGAUGCUUCAUAGAGGGUCGCCAAAACAGACGUGGAAAAAAGAGAGCGUGACAACACCGCAACCCC
ensembl:processed_transcript si:rp71-1h3.1 si:rp71-1h3.1